AUUCAAACAUCCAUUUUUCUUAUCCAACUAUUACUCACCUUGGAGUUAUUUCUCUUUUCCUGCUACUACAUAUCCAUGUACUGCUCCUUCAAUACAUAAUUAGUCUUUUGAAUCCUUACCAGCUCCUACUCUUUCCCUUGUUUCAAUUCCUUCUCACCUCACCAAGUUCUCUUUCAUGUUCUUCCUCUACAUGUAUAUUUUAAAGAUGCUCAAUUUCAAUUGUCCAAAAUUUCUUCAAUCUCCACUUCACCUCCUUCAAAACUAAUUUCUUCUAUCCAACUAAUAUUCACCUUUAAGUUAUUCCUCUUCUCCUCCUACAGUUCAUCCUUAUAUUGUUCCUUCAAUUCUUAAUGUUUCACUUGAAUCCUCACCAUCUCCUACUUCUUCCUUUGUUUCACUUUCAUCUCCUCAUUCACCUAGGACAAUUUAUCUUUCUUCUUCUUCUUCCCUAACUAAUUCAUCUUAAUCCUCUUUCAAAUUCCCUAAAGAUAAUAAAUUUCAGUAAUCCAAAUUUACUACUUUCUCCACUUCAUAUCCUUACAAAAUAACUUCUUUACCAAUUAUUAUUCACUUUGAAGAUAUUCCUCUAAUCCUCCCACUGCUCAUCUUUUUACUGCUCCUUCAAUUCAUAAUGGUUCCCUAGAAUCCUCACCUUCUCCAACUUGUUCCCCAGUUUCAUUUCCUUCACUUCAUUCACCUUCACCAACUUCUCUUUCUUCUUCUCCAUCUCCAUCUAUUCCAUCUCUUAUACCGCUUUCUAAAUAUCUAGAGAUGUUAAAUGUACUCCAAAUUUCUUUCUUUCACCACUUCACCAUCUUCAAAAAUCCCUUUUUCUUAUCCGACUAUUACUCACCUUGGAGUUAUUUGUCUUCUCCUGCAACUACUUAUCAAUGUACUAUUCCCUCUAUAAGUGUAUACAGUAUUGUAUAGUUAUGAAAAUAUCGGGUUAUUCAUGUGUGAGCUGGGCCAGCUGGAAUGUGUAUAUAGUAUAGUUUAGAUAUGAAAAUAUCCGGUUAGUCAUGUGUGAGCUAUGCCAGCUGGAAUGCAAGCUGGACACUAAUGGUUAGGGGCUGUUAGCAAUAAUUAGGUUCUGUUACUUUCUAUCAGAAUAAUUAACUUGCUCUGUAUGCUACCAUUUUUCUAUAUAAGUAGGAUUUCACUCUCUUGUAAAUACCAAAAAUUAUGAUAACACUUUGAGUUAAAAACUCUCUCUCUCUCUCUCUCUCUCUCUCUCUCUCUCUCUCUCUCUCUCUCUCUCUUUUCCAUUUCUCUAUUUCUUCUAUCACGUUCAAUACAUAAUGGUUCAGUUGAAUUCUCACCAUCUCCUACUCCUUCCCAUUUUCAAUUCCUUCUCAAUAUUCACCACACUAACUCCUCUCUUUCUUCUUUUUCCUCUCCAUGUAAUCUGUCUUUUUCCACUUUCUAAAAUUCAAAAGAUGCUCAAUUUCAUUAGUCCAAAAUUUCUCCUUACCAUCUCCUACUAUUUCCCAUGUUUCACAUUCAUCUCCUCAUUCACCUUCACCAAUUCUCUCUCUUCAUCUUCCACCCUAUCUAAUCCAUCAUAUUCCACAAUCAAAUUCUCGAAAGAUAUUAUUUUUCAGAAAUCCAAAAACUAUGUUCUCCACUUCACGUCCUUAAAAAUAACUUCUUAACCAAUUAUUAUUCACCUUCAAGAUAUUACUCUAACCCUCCUGUUGCUCAUCUUUUUACCACUCCCUCAAUUCAUAAUGGUUCACUUGAAUCCACACCAUCUCUAACUUUUUCCCAAGUUUCACUUCCUUUUCUUCAAUCACCUUCACCAGAUUGUCCUUCUUCUUCUCCAUCCCCAUCUAAUCCAUCUCGUCUACAACUUUCUAAAUUUGAAGAGAAGUUAAAUUCCUAGAGUCCAAAUAUCCUUCUUUUACCACUUCACAUCAUUCAAACAUCCUUUUUUCUUAUCCAACUAUUACUCACCUUGGAGUUAUUUCUCUUCUCCUGCUUGUACUUAUCCAUGUACUGCUCCUUCAAUACAUUAUGGUUCACUUGAAUCCUCACCAUCUCAAUCCUUUCUCAUAUUUCAAUUCAUUCUCCUCAUUCAUGUCUUCAACUUCUCUUUCAUCUUCUUCAUCUACAUGUAAUCCAUCUUAUUCCACAUUCCAAAAUUUUAAAAAUGCUCAAUUUCAUUAGUCAAAAAUUUCUUCUAUCUCCACUUCACCUCCUUCAAAAUUAAUAUCUUCAAUCCAACAAAAAUUCACCUUGAAGUUUUUCCUUUUCUCCUCCUACAGCUCAUCCUUAUACUGCACCUUCAAUUCUUCAUGUUUUCCUCCUUUCCCCCUUCAUCACAUUCAAACACCACUUUCUACUUAUCCAUGUACUACUCCUUCAAUACAUUAUGGUUGAUUUGAAUCCUCACAAUCUCCUACUCAUUCCCAUGUUUCACUUCUUUCUCUUCAUUCACCUUCACCGGCUUCUCUUUCUCUUUCUCCAUCCCAAUAAUCCAUCUCUUCAACCACUUUCUAAAUCUGUAGAGAAGUUAAAUUCCACGAGUCCAAAUUUUCGUCUUACACCACCUCACCUCCUUCAAACAUCCUUUUUACUUAGCCAACUAUUACUCACCUUGGAGUUAUUUCUCUUCUCCUCCUAGUACUUAUCCAUGUACUGCUCCUUCUAUACAUUAUGGUUCAUUUGAAUCAUCACCAUCUCCUACUCUUUCCCAUGUUUCACUUACUUCUUCUCAUUCACCUCACCAACUUCUCUUUCAUCUUCUUCCUAUCCAAGUAAUCCAUCUUAUUCCACUUUCCCAAUUUUAAAGUUGCUCAAUUUCAUUAGUCUAAAAUUCCAUCUAUCUCCACUUCACCUCCUUCAAAAUUAAUAUCUACUAUCCAACUAAUAUUCAACUUGAAAAUAUUCUUCUUCACCUCUUACAGUUCAUCCCUAUACUGCUCCUUCAAUUCUUAAAUGUUUCAAUUAAAUCCUCACAAUCUCCUACUUCUUCCAAUGUUUCACUUUCAUCUCCUCAUUCACCUUCACCAAUUUCUUUUUCUACUUCUUCCUCCCUAACAAAUCCAUAUUAUUCCACUUUCAAAUUCUCUACAGAUAUUCUUCUUCAGCAAUCCAAAUUAACUACUUUCUCCACUUCACGUCCUUAAAAAAUAACUACUUAAACAAUUAAUAUUCACUUUCAAUAUUUUCCUCUAACCGUCCUACUGCUCAUCUUUUUACUGCCCUCCCAAUUCUUAAUGGUUCACUUCAAUCCUCACCAUCUCUAACUUUUUCCCAUGUUUCACUUCCUUCUCUUCAUUCAUCUUUACCAGCUUCUCUUUCUUCUUCUCCAUCCCCAUCUAUUUCAUCCCUUAUACCACUAUCUAAAUCUAUAGAGAAGUUAAAUUCCAAGAGUCCACAUUUUCUUCUUUCACCACUUCACCACAUUCAAACAUCCAUUUUUCUUAUCCAACUAUUACUCACCUUGGAGUUAUUUCUCUUUUCCUGCUACUACGUAUCCAUGUACUGCUCCUUCAAUACAUUAUGGUUCAUUUGAAUCCUCACCAUCUCCUACUCUUUCCCAUGUUUCACUUCCAACUCCUCAUUCACCUCACCAUCUUCUCUUUCAUCUUGUUGCUUUCCAUGUAAUCCAUAUUAUUCCACUUUCCCAAAUUUUAAAGAUGCUUAAUUUCAUUAAUCCAAAAUUUCUUCUAUCUCCACUUCACCUCCUUCAAAAUUAAUAUCUUCCAUCCAACUAAUAUUCACCUUGAAGUUAUUCCUUUUCUCCUCCUACAGCUCAUCCUUAUACUGCUCCUUCAAUUCUUAAUGUUUCAAUUGAAUACUCACCAUCUCCUACUAUUUCCUAUGUUUCACUUUCAUCUCCCCAUUCACCUUCACCAACUUCUCUUUCUUCUUCUUCCUCCCUAACUAAUCCAUCUUAAUCCACUUUCAAAGUCUCUACAGAUAUUCUUUUUCAGAAAUCCAAAUUAACUACUUUCUCCACUUCACGUCCUUAAAAAACAAACUUCUUUACCAAUUAUUAUUCACCUUCAAGAUAUUCCACUAACCCUUCCACUGUUCAUCUUUUUACUGCUCCCACAAUUCAUAAUGGUUCACUUGAAUCCACGCUAUCUCUAACUUUUUCCCAAGUUUCACUUCCUUCUCUUCAUUUACGUUCACCAGCUUCUCUUUCUUUUUCUCCAUCCCCAUCUAAUCCAUCUCGUCUACCACUUCCUAAAUUUGUAGAGAAGUUCACUUCAAAGAGUCCAAAUUUCCUUCUUUCACGACUUCACCUCAUUCAAACAUCUCUUUUUCUUAUCCAACUAUUACUCACCUUCGAGUUAUUUCUCUUCUCCUGCUAGUACUUAUCCAUGUACUGCUCCUACAAUACAUUAUGGUUCAUUUGAAUCCUCACCAUCGCCCACUCUUUCCCAUCUUUCACUUCUUUCUCCUCAUUCACCUCACCAACUUCUCUUUCAUCUUCUUCCUUUCCAUUAACUCCA
rnacentral:lncRNA from 1 species